GUUUCCAUGAAUUUGAUAUUGAAAAAAUAAUUAUGAAAAAUCCCCAAUUGCAUAUAUGAACCCUAAUUUCAUCUAAAAGCCCUGAAGGUGGGAAUUGAUGAAAUCAAACUCAUGAAACCAUAUUUCGACGUGAUCAAUAAGUACCAUUCAUCAUCAAUUGCAAAAAAAGUUGAAAAACACGUAUAAUCGUAGUGGAAACAAAUGGAAGAUAACAAAUGGAAGAUAAUACGUGUGUUGAAGAAGGAGGUGAUAAGUGCGUGAUAUUUUUACAGGCUAAAAGUUUCAUUUUUAUCAUCUCACGAGAUCUCAUUUUCUGAGAUUUUGACCGAUCAAGGUACGAUAAAUUGAUUAUUUAACCUGCUAUGACAGAAACCGUUAUCUUAGGGCAUAUUCCCGAGAAUUGAAAUUUUGGGACAUAUCCCCAAAAUUAUAAUUCAUUUUGGGACAUAUUACCAAUAUUCCCAUUAAUUAAUUUUGAAUAACUAAUGUUGAAAUUGUUGAACCCUAUGCUUCUACUGGAACCAGGUUUCUUUUUUCUCUGUGAAUUAGCAACUUUCCUUUUAAAACACCCAAAAAAAAUUACACAGGGGCCAGGUCAACUGCUUCAUAUCAGCCCCUUAUCAUGGCAACGUGAUGGCUUCCAGCAGUUCUGCUCUCCAUGUUAGAGUUCGAAUCCAAAUAACAGAUGAAUUAAGAACAGAGUUUCAAUAGUUCUCACAAGCAAAAUGAGAAUUUAAAAGAUAAGAAGGCAUUGUUGUUGUCAAACUGUAAAGCACUUUUCCUUGCCUUUUCCCCUUCCUAUUGAUGUCGUUAAAACCCAAAUAAUUUCCACCGACAGUUUUGUUCA